CCAGAAUGUUCCCCCAGUGAGAACUCUGACCCCUUCAGAACCAACCUGGCAAUUGGAAUUUCCUUCAUCUACUGGAUUCUCCUUGCCAAGUAAUUUCUGGGAAUUCCUCAGUCUUGCUCACUUGUUGUACCACUCUCUCCUGGAUGUCACUUGUCACCUCUACCAGCCCUCCUUUCUCCAGAUGGCUUCUUCAUAACCACCAGAGCACGUGUAAGACCAGAUAGCAGUAUCUGAAAAAUUUCUUCAGACAGCUUUGGCAUACUGCAAGAGAACUACAACACAGAAGAGGAGAACUGAGAGGUUAGCUCCACUCAUGCUUCUAGGUCUUGCCCUUUAAGAGCUGGUUUCCUUCUGGC
rnacentral:lncRNA from 1 species